rnacentral:rRNA from 1 species
GAUGAACGCUAGCGGGAGGCCUAAUACAUGCAAGUCGAACGGUAAGGUCCCUUCGGGGAUACACGAGUGGCGGACGGGUGCGUAACGCGUACGAAACAUACCUUCAACAGGGAGAUACCUCCGGGAAACUGGAAAUAAUACCCCAUAGUAUUGAGAUAUCGCAUGAUAUUUCAAUUAAAGCUUUGGCGGUUGAAGAUUGUCGUGCGUCUGAUUAGCUAGUUGGUGAGGUAACGGCUCACCAAGGCGACGAUCAGUAGCUGGUCUGAGAGAGUGAUCCGCCACACUGGGACUGAGAUACGGCCCAGACUCCUACGGGAGGCAGCAGUGAGGAAUAUUGCGCAAUGGACGAAAGUCUGACGCAGCAAUGCCGCGUGAAUGAAGAAGGCCUAUGGGUUGUAAAAUUCCGUCAGAAGGGAAGAACAUGUCGGUUAGCAGCUGAUAUUGACGGUACCUUCAGAGGAAGCUUCCGGCUAACUCCGUGCCAG